AGGUGCUGUGCGUGCCACCUUUGGAACCAGAUGAGCAUUGAAUGUGCCCAAAGCAGUGGUGGCCACAGCAUUCAACUCUGGAUCGAGGAGGUGAUGAAGAGGAACAUGCCCGUCAGACAGCGUGGUGUUUUGCUGGACAAAGAUCCAAAACCAUCAUCCCUC